UAGAUACUCCCUCCAUCCAAAAAAACUUGUCCCAAGCUUGGUCCUCAAAUGAAUGUAUUUAGCACUAACUUGGUGCUUGAUAUAACCAUUUGAGGGACAAGCUUUUUUGGAUGGAGGGAGCAGGUG
rfam:Triticum aestivum genome assembly, contig: Triticum_aestivum_CS42_TGACv1_scaffold_544386_6DS